AACGAACGCUGGCGGCAGGCCUAAAACAUGCAAGUCGAACGCCCUAGCAAUAGGGAGUGGCGCACGGGUGAGUAACGCGUGGGAACGUGCCCUUCAGUACGGAACAACGUCGGGAAACUGACGCUAAUACCGUAUAAUAUCUCCGGAUCAAAGAUUUAUCGCUGAAGGAUCGGCCCGCGUCUGAUUAGCUAGUUGGUGAGGUAAUGGCUCACCAAGGCUACGAUCAGUAGCUGGUCUGAGAGGAUGAUCAGCCACACUGGGACUGAGACACGGCCCAGACUCCUACGGGAGGCAGCAGUUAGGAAUAUUGGACAAUGGGCGAAAGCCUGAUCCAGCCAUGCCGCGUGUGUGAUGAAGGCCUUAGGGUUGUAAAGCACUUUCGUUGGGGAUGAUAAUGACCGUACCCAAAGAAGAAGCCACGGCUAAAUUCGUGCCAGCCGCCGCCGUAA
rnacentral:rRNA from 1 species